UACGUAGGUGACAAGCGUUGUCCGGAUUUACUGGGCGUAAAGAGCGCGCAGGCGGUCGAUCAAGUCGAGUGUGAAAGCCCCCGGCUCAACUGGGGGGGGUCAUUCGAUACUGAUCGACUCGAAGGCAGGAGAGGGUAGUGGAAUUCCCGGUGUAGUGGUGAAAUGCGUAGAUAUCGGGAGGAACACCAGUGGCGAAGGCGACUACCUGGCCUGUUCUUGACGCUGAGGCGCGAAAGCUAGGGGAGCAAACGGG
rnacentral:rRNA from 1 species